CCUACGGGUGGCAGCAGUGAGGAAUAUUGGUCAAUGGACGAGAGUCUGAACCAGCCAAGUAGCGUGAAGGAUGACUGCCCUAUGGGUUGUAAACUUCUUUUAUAUGGGAAUAAAAUGUUCCACGUGUGGGAUUUUGUAUGUACCAUAUGAAUAAGGAUCGGCUAACUCCGUGCCAGCAGCCGCGGUAAGACGGAGGAUCCGAGCGUUAUCCGGAUUUAUUGGGUUUAAAGGGAGCGUAGGGGGAUUGUUAAGUCAGUUGUGAAAGUUUGCGGCUCAACCGUAAAAUUGCAGUUGAAACUGGCAGUCUUGAGUACAGUAGAGGUGGGCGGAAUUCGUGGUGUAGCGGUGAAAUGCUUAGAUAUCACGAAGAACUCCGAUUGCGAAGGCAGUUCACUGGACUGCAACUGACACUGAGGCUCGAAAGUGUGGGUAUCAAACAGGAUUAGAUACCCCAGUAGUC
rnacentral:rRNA from 1 species